UACUUCGGUUAGCUCACCUUCAUUUUCCAACUCUGUGCACUAUUGGCGGACUGAGAG
rnacentral:rRNA from 1 species